UUCAUGAAGGGUGUGGCAGAACACACCUGUUACCCUAUGAAUACUCUUCUCUCUCUGAAGGGCAGAGGUAGAACCCCGGAAAAUCCUGUGCCACAAAACCACUAAGAACACCAGGAAUGUGCUCUAGAUGUUAAGCCUAUGCUGGCAGCAACCCAGAAAGCAGUCACAUCUCAGUAAAAACGAUGCCUGGACGAGAAGCAAACGGAGAAACUGCUUGGAUAAUACUUAGACUAUGAAUACACAUAUCAGCAUCGGAUUGUUCUUACAGAA